rnacentral:rRNA from 1 species
ACGUAGGGUGCGAGCGUUAAUCGGAAUUACUGGGCGUAAAGCGUGCGCAGGCGGUUCGUCGUGUCCGAUGUGAAAGCCCCGGGCUCAACCUGGGAACUGCAUUCGAGACUGAAUAGCUAGGGUACGGUAGAGGGAAGUGGAAUUUCCGGUGUAGCGGUGAAAUGCGUAGAUAUCGGAAGGAACAUCAGUGGCGAAAGCGACUUCCUGGACCAGUACCGACGUUCAGGCACGAAAGCGUGGGGAGCAAACAGGA